GGCCGCGCAGGCGCGAUGGCGGCGCGGGCGGCGAUGGCGGCGGCGGCGGGCGGCGGGGCCCGGCCCGCGGUGGUGCUGGGCGCGAUGGAGAUGGGCCGGCGAGCCGGGCCCGAGGCCAGCGCCGAGCUGCUCCGCGCCUUCCUGAGCCGCCGACACCGCCUCAUCGACACCGCCUUCAUGUACGCGGGCGGCGAGUCCGAGCGCAUCCUGGGCACGCUGCUGGCCGGCGGCACCGAGCCCGUGGAAGUGGCCACCAAGGCCAACCCGUGGGAUGGGAAGACGCUGAAGCCUGAGAGCGUGCGCUCCCAGCUGGACACGUCCCUGGAGAGGCUGCAGAGGAAGAGUGUGGAGCUCUUCUACCUCCACGCUCCUGACCACGGCACCCCGGUGGAGGAAACCCUGCGUGCCUGCAACGAGCUGCACAAAGAGGGGAAGUUUAAAGAGCUUGGCUUGUCAAACUACGCCGCGUGGGAGGUGGCAGAAAUCUGUGCCAUCUGCAAGUACAACAACUGGGUUAUGCCAACUGUGUACCAGGGAAUGUACAACGCGACCACACGCCAGGUGGAGGCCGAGCUGUUCCCCUGCCUCAGGCACUUCGGGCUCCGCUUCUACGCCUACAACCCGCUGGCAGGGGGGCUGCUGACCGGCAAGUACAAGUACGAGGACAAAGACACGCGCCAGCCCACUGGGAGAUUUUUUGGGAAUGACUGGGCUCAGGCCUACAGGGACAGGUACUGGAAAAAACACAAUUUUGAGGGAAUUGCACUGAUAGAAAAAGCUCUGAAAGAGGCUUAUGGCUCCACUGCACCCAGCCUGGCAUCUGCUGCACUGCGCUGGCUCUACAACCACUCCAAACUGCAGGGUUCUCUUGGAGAUGCAGUGAUCAUUGGGAUGUCCAACCUGGAGCAGCUGGAGCAGAACCUCACCUACAGCGAGGAGGGUCCCCUGCUGCCGGGCGUGGUGCAGGCGUUUGACCAGGCCUGGAACCUGAGUGCACACGACUGCCCCAACUACUUCCGCUAGGGAAGGCAGGCUGGGACACCUGGCACAGGCUCUGGAGACCUGGGAGAGGCACUGCCCAGCCCACCCUCCACAGCUGGGGGGCUGCAGGUUUUUCCUGACUCUUUGUAGGAGUCACACCUGUGCCUUAGCCCUCCCUCCUGCCCCCUUGGCUCCCCCAGCACAGCCUGUGAUUCAGGAUGCAGCUGAUCAGGAAAGUGAACACCUUCACAAGGUGAAGGCCCUUGUUCUGCUUGAAUGUGAAAUCUUAAAUAAUUACAUACAAGAAUAAAAGCUCUUUCUAGUGCA